rnacentral:rRNA from 1 species
GACGAAGGGGGCUAGCGUUGUUCGGAAUUACUGGGCGUAAAGCGCGUGUAGGCGGUUGGCCAAGUCGGGUGUGAAAGCCUUGAGCUCAACUCAAGAAAUGCACUCGGUACUGGGUGACUAGAGGACCGGAGAGGAUAGUGGAAUUCCCAGUGUAGUGGUGAAAUACGUAGAGAUUGGGAAGAACACCAGUGGCGAAGGCGGCUAUCUGGACGGAUACUGACGCUGAGACGCGAAAGCGUGGGUAGCAAACAGG